rnacentral:rRNA from 1 species
CCCUUAGAUGUCCGGGGCUGCACGCGCGCUACACUGAAGGAAUCAGCGUGCUAAAACCAUUGUCGAAAGGCAUUGGUAAACCCAUUAAAAUCCUACGUGAUUGGGAUCGGGAAUUGCAAUUACUUCCCUUGAACGAGGAAUUCCCAGUAAGUGUGGGUCAUAAGCUCGCGUUGAUUACGUCCCUGCCCUUUGUACACACCGCCCGUCGCUGCCCGGGACUGAGCCGUUUCGAGAAAAGCGGGGACUGCUGCUGUCGGGGCUUUCGGGCCUUGGCUUCGGUGGAAACCGCUUUAAUCGCAGUGGCUUGAACCGGGCAAAAGUCGUAACA